UGACACAGGACACCGGCUAUUUAACUUC
rnacentral:piRNA from 1 species